GAUGAACGCUGGCGGCGUGCCUAAUACAUGCAAGUCGAGCGAACGGACGAGAAGCUUGCUUCUCUGAUGUUAGCGGCGGACGGGUGAGUAACACGUGGAUAACCUACCUAUAAGACUGGGAUAACUUCGGGAAACCGGAGCUAAUACCGGAUAAUAUUUUGAACCGCAUGGUUCAAAAGUGAAAGACGGUCUUGCUGUCACUUAUAGAUGGAUCCGCGCUGCAUUAGCUAGUUGGUAAGGUAACGGCUUACCAAGGCAACCAUGCAUAGCCGACCUGAGAGGGUGAUCGGCCACACUGGAACUGAGACACGGUCCAGACUCCUACGGGAGGCAGCACUAGGGAAUCUUCCGCAAUGGGCGAAAGCCUGACGGAGCAACGCCGCGUGAGUGAUGAAGGUCUUCGGAUCGUAAAACUCUGUUAUUAGGGAAGAACAUAUGUGUAAGUAACUGUGCACAUCUUGACGGUACCUAAUCAGAAAGCCACGGCUAACUACGUGCCAGCAGCCGCGGUAAUACGUAAGUGGCAAGCGUUAUCCGGAAUUAUUGGGCGUAAAGCGCGCGUAGGCGGUUUUUUAAGUCUGAUGUGAAAGCCCACGGCUCAACCGUGGAGGGUCAUUGGAAACUGGAAAACUUGAGUGCAAAAGAGGAAAGUGGAAUUCCGUGUGUAGCGGUGAAAUGCACAGAUAUAUGGAGGAACACCAGUGGCGAACGCGACUUUCUGGUCUGUAACUGACGCUGAUGUGCGAAAGCGUGGGGAUCAAACAGGAUUAGAUACCCUGGUAGUCCACGCCGUAAACGAUGAGUGCUAAGUGUUAGCGGGUUUCCGCCCCUUAGUGCUGCAGCUAACACAUUAAGCACUCCGCCUGGGGAGUACGACCGCAAGGUUGAAACUCAAAGGAAUUGACGGGGACCCGCACAAGCGGUGGAGCACGUGGCUUAAUUCGAAGCAACGCGAAGAACCUUACCAAAUUCUUGACAUCCUUUGACAACUCUAGAGAUAGAGCUUUCCCCCUUCGGGGGACAAAGUGACAGGUGGAGCAUGGUUGCCGUCAGCUCGUGUCGUGAGAUGUUGGGUUAAGUCCCGCAACGAGCGCAACCCUUAAGCUUAGUUGCCAUCAUUAAGUUGGGCACUCUAAGUUGACUGCCGGUGACAAACCGGAGGAAGGUGGGGAUGACGUCAAAUCAUCAUGCCCCUUAUGAUCUGGGCUACACACGUGAUACAAUGGACAAUACAAAGGGCAGCGAAACCGCGAGGUCAAGCAAAUCCCAUAAAGUUGUUAUCAGUUCGGAUUGUAGUCUGUAAUUCGAAUACAUGAAGCUGGAAUCGAUAGUAAUCGUAGAUCAGCAUGCUACGGUGAAUACGUUCCCGGUUCU
rnacentral:rRNA from 1 species